AAUGAAAUCAGAAUAAAACUUGUUAGA
rnacentral:piRNA from 1 species